rnacentral:rRNA from 1 species
UACGGAGGAUCCGAGCGUUAUCCUGAUUUAUUGGGUUUAAAGGGUGCGCAGGCGGGAGAUUAAGUCGGCGGUGAAAUUUUGCAGCUCAACUGUAAAAGUGCCUUCGAAACUGGUUUCCUUGAGUGUAGAUGAAGUAGGCGGAAUUUGUGGUGUAGCGGUGAAAUGCAUAGAUAUCACGAGGAACUCCGAUUGCGCAGGCAGCUUACUAAACUACUACUGACGCUCAGGCACGAAGGCGUGGGGAUCAAACAGGAUUAGAUACCCCGGUA